UGUACCCGGCGCCGCGCCCCCAGAUCUGCAUCGGAAUGUAGAAAAGAUCUUUAAAAAAAAAAAAAGUUUUGAAUUCCUCAAUGAUUUUUCUUCUAGAAAGGCAGCUUAGGAUAAUUAUUUCAGCUUUAUUGAGAGCAGAUUAGUUGAAGUCUGGGCGCUGCGUUUCAAUACGCGUUGUACAUGGGCCGACAAUGUGG
rfam:Neotoma lepida isolate 417 scaffold_149, whole genome shotgun sequence.